rnacentral:rRNA from 1 species
GGAGGAAAGCAGGGGAUCGCAAGACCUUGCGCUCAUUGAGCGGCCGAUGCCUGAUUAGCUAGUUGGUGAGGUAAAGGCUUACCAAGGCGACGAUCAGUAGCUGGUCUGAGAGGACGACCAGCCACACUGGGACUGAGACACGGCCCAGACUCCUACGGGAGGCAGCAGUGGGGAAUUUUGGACAAUGGGGGAAACCCUGAUCCAGCCAUGCCGCGUGAGUGAAGAAGGCCUUCGGGUUGUAAAGCUCUUUCAGCCGGAACGAAACGGUCACGGCUAAUACCUGUGACUACUGACGGUACUCGCAGAAGAAGCACCGGCUAACUACGUGCCAGCAGCCGCGGUAAUACGUAGGGUGCAGGCGUUAAUCGGAAUUACUGGGCGUAAAGCGUGCGCAGGCGGCUCCUUAAGUCAGAUGUGAAAGCCCCGGGCUUAACCUGGGAACUGCGUUUGAAACUACAAAGCUAG